AGGAUGAACGCUGGCGGCGUGCCUAAUACAUGCAAGUCGAGCGGUAAGGUCCCUUCGGGGAUACACGAGCGGCGGACGGCUGAGUAACACGUAGGAACGUACCCCAGAGUGAGGCAUAAGCACCAGAAAUGGUGUCUAAUACCGCAUGUGGCCCUCGGGCUAAAGCUCCGGCGCUUUGGGAACGGCCUGCGCAUGAUUAGCUUGUUGGUGAGGUAAUAGCUCACCAAGGCGAUGAUCAUUAGCUGGUCUGAGAGGAUGACCAGCCAGACUGGAACUGAGAACGGUCCAGACUCCUACGGGAGGCAGCAGUAGGGAAUUUCCGACAAUGGACGAAAGUCUGAUGGAGCAACGCCGCGUGCAGGAUGAAUGUCUUCGGAUUGUAAACUGCUUUUAUAUGUGACGAUUAUGACGGUAGCAUAUAGAAUAAGGAUCGGCUAACUCCGCGCCAGCAGCCGAC
rnacentral:rRNA from 1 species